AAAGGAAGGGGCAGUGAAGACUCGCGGU
rnacentral:sRNA from 1 species